rnacentral:misc_RNA from 1 species
GAUGAAGAACGCAGCGAAAUGCGAUAAGUAAUGCGAAUUGCAGAAUUCCGUGAGUCAUCGAAUCUUUGAACGCACAUUGCGCCCUCUGGUAUUCCGGAGGGCAUGCCUGUCUGAGCGUCAUUGUCAACCCUCAAGCUCAGCUUGCUGUUGGGUCCCCGUCGUUGCUUUAACGGCGGACCCGAAAGGUAAUGGCAGAGUCCGUGAGACCCAGACGCAGCGAGCUUCUAGCACGCGUCUGGACGUUUUUCGGGCUCGGUCUUAACUAGAUGAUAACUUCCGAUUGACCUCAGAUCAGGUAGGGAUACCCGCUGAACUUAAGCAUAUCGAUAAGCGGAGGA